GAACUGUCACUUAGUGGAAGAGCUUCUGCUUUGUAUGGAGAAAGUCCCAAGGUUCGAUUCCUGGCAUCGCCA